rnacentral:lncRNA from 1 species
CAUUGGAUUGUACUUUGUUUUUUUCUUACAAAUGCAAAAUCAAUGAAAGUGUAUAUGAUUUUCAACAUUCAUUAAUCCCUAAAUAAAAUCAAAAAAUUGAAAAAAUCCUUUGUAGGUAUUUCACCAAUGAAUCACAUUUUCAAAGAUUUUUUCAUGAACUGGUGAAUAUGUUACAAAUGAGCUGUGCCGGAUAGAAAUCAGCCUUAUGUAAUAAAUACCAAUAUAUCUAUUAAUCAUUUGAUGUUUUGUAAAAAAAUGUCUAUGCAAAGUCUGUAACUGUUUGAAAACUUAGUUCAUAUAAGUACCCAACAAACCAGAUCAAAAUUCAUCUUUUAUUUUGUAUUUGAAUGUUCCAAAAUCAAUUCGAAGUCUUACACAUGUAUAUAUGUACUUGCAUAAGAUCGAUUUAUAUCCGAUACAGAUCAAAUGAUGCUUUUGAUAAUUUGAAAGAAUGAGUAUGCUGUCUGUUAAUCAAUGAAUUUCAGUCUGAGUUUAACAAGAGUUUAUUAAUGGUUUAAAAGAAACGUUCUACAAUAAGAUUUUCAAAAUAAGAAAUC